UAGCCCAUUCUCCCUUUUUCUGGGACAGGUUAUGACAUCAGUGAUUACGGAAUUUGACCCAGCGGAGUGUAUACCAUGAAUAUAAGACAGGAGAUUUUCUUGCAGGGAGGACCAUUGGAGAAUCAAAUGCUUUUGAAUCAUAUAAACUAUCCACUAAUUUAAGAAAAGCAGGUAUACAGAAAAACCACAUCACUGGUUUGGCCUCUACACCUAAAAAUCCAGUCUAUUGGUAACAGCAAUUACAGGAGAGUUUGAAAACUAGAAAUAUUUGCUUAUGGAUAUCAACAACUGUGACUUGCACAAUUCAACCCACCACAAAUGAAUAGCUCUGGAAGUACGCAUUAGCAGUCCUUUCAACACACCUCCAUCGGAACAAAUUUAUACCUUUAAGAUGAAAGACCUUUAUAUAUUAUUAAGUAAAAAUAUG
rnacentral:lncRNA from 1 species